rnacentral:rRNA from 1 species
GAUGAACGCUGGCGGCGUGCCUAAUACAUGCAAGUCGAGCGAACGGACGAGAAGCUUGCUUCUCUGAUGUUAGCGGCGGACGGGUGAGUAACACGUGGAUAACCUACCUAUAAGACUGGGAUAACUUCGGGAAACCGUAGCUAAUACCGGAUAAUAUUUUGAACCGCAUGGUUCAAAAGUGAAAGACGGUCUUGCUGUCACUUAUAGAUGGAUCCGCGCUGCAUUAGCUAGUUGGUAAGGUAACGGCUUACUAAGGCAACGAUGCAUAGCCGACGGCAGGGGGGGGUCGCCGACAUGGGAACUGAACCGGCGUCCAUGGUACUGAGGUAGGGAGCAGAAGGGAACCGUCCGCAGUGGUGGAAAGUCUUACGCAGCAACCGGGCGUGUGUGAUGGAGGCGUUGCGAGCGUAAUACUGUGUUAUGAGUUAAGAACAUAUGUGGAAGUAGCUGAGGAGAGCGUGACGGUACCUGAUCAGGAAGCCCCGGCUAACUACGUG